ensembl:lncRNA
GUGGUGUAGUGGGGUGUGGAGGUGUGUAGUGGUGUGUGGAGGUGGUGUAGUGGGGUGUGGAGGCGUGUGGAGGUGUUGUAGUGGGGUGUGGAGGUGGUGUAGUGGGGUGUGGAGGUGGUGUAGUGGGGUGUGGAGGUGGUGUAGUGGUGUGUGGAGGUGUGUAGUGGUGUGUGGAGGCGUGUGGAGGUGGUGUAGUGGUGUGUGGAGGUGUGUAGUGGUGUGUGGAGGCGUGUAGUGGUGUGUGGAGGUGGUGUAGUGGGGUGUGGAGGUGGUGUAGUGGGGUGUGGAGGCGUGUGGAGGUGUUGUAGUGGGGUGUGGAGGUGUUGUAGUGGGGUGUGGAGGUGGUGUAGUGGUGUGUGGAGGCGUGUGGAGGGGUGUGGAGGUGGUGUAGUGGUGUGUGGAGGUGGUGUAGUGGUGUGUGGAGGUGUGUAGUGGUGUGUGGAGGUGGUGUAGUGGUGUGUGGAGGCGUG